rnacentral:rRNA from 1 species
CAGUCGCCACGGGAAUACGUAGGGUGCAAGCGUUAAUCGGAAUUACUGGGCGUAAAGCGUGCGCAGGCGGUUAUAUAAGACAGAUGUGAAAUCCCCGGGCUCAACCUGGGAACUGCAUUUGUGACUGUAUAGCUAGAGUACGGCAGAGGGGGAUGGAAUUCCGCGUGUAGCAGUGAAAUGCGUAGAUAUGCGGAGGAACAUUGAUGGCGAAGGCAAUCCCCUGGGCCUGUACUGACGCUCAUGCACGAAAGCGUGGGGAGCAAACAGGAUUAGAUACCCCUGUAGUCCCUGUCUCUUAUAC